GGCCCCAUCGUCUAGCGGUCCAGGACGCCGGCCUCUCACGCCGGAAACACGGGUUCGAGUCCCGUUGGGGUCACCA
rnacentral:tRNA from 2 species